UACGUAGGGUGCAAGCGUUGUCCGGAAUUAUUGGGCGUAAAGAGCUCGUAGGCGGCUUGUCGCGUCGACUGUGAAAUCCCGCGGCUCAACCGCGGGUCUGCAGUCGAUACGGGCAGGCUAGAGUUCGGUAGGGGAGACUGGAAUUCCUGGUGUAGCGGUGAAAUGCGCAGAUAUCAGGAGGAACACCGAUGGCGAAGGCAGGUCUCUGGGCCGAUACUGACGCUGAGGAGCGAAAGCGUGGGGGAGCGAACAGG
rnacentral:rRNA from 1 species